rnacentral:rRNA from 1 species
ACGGAGGGUGCGAGCGUUAAUCGGAAUAACUGGGCGUAAAGGGCACGCAGGCGGUGACUUAAGUGAGGUGUGAAAGCCCCGGGCUUAACCUGGGAAUUGCAUUUCAUACUGGGUCGCUAGAGUACUUUAGGGAGGGGUAGAAUUCCACGUGUAGCGGUGAAAUGCGUAGAGAUGUGGAGGAAUACCGAAGGCGAAGGCAGCCCCUUGGGAAUGUACUGACGCUCAUGUGCGAAAGCGUGGGGAGCAAACAGG